rnacentral:rRNA from 1 species
GACGAACGCUGGCGGCGUGCCUAAUACAUGCAAGUAGAACGCUGAAGCUUGGUGCUUGCACCGAGCGGAAGAGUUGCGAACGGGUGAGUAACGCGUAGGUAACCUGCCUGGUAGCGGGGGAUAACUAUUGGAAACGAUAGCUAAUACCGCAUGAUAUUGAUUAUUGCAUGAUAGUCAAUUAAAAGGUGCAAUUGCAUCACUACCAGAUGGACCUGCGUUGUAUUAGCUAGUUGGUGAGGUAACGGCUCACCAAGGCAACGAUACAUAGCCGACCUGAGAGGGUGAUCGGCCACACUGGGACUGAGACACGGCCCAGACUCCUACGGGAGGCAGCAGUAGGGAAUCUUCGGCAAUGGACGGAAGUCUGACCGAGCAACGCCGCGUGAGUGAAGAAGGUUUUCGGAUCGUAAAGCUCUGUUGUAAGAGAAGAACGAGUGUGAGAGUGGAAAGUUUACACUGU